GCCUUUUUUCCCCUUCUCUCCCCAAGCCUCUGGGCGCUGCUCCUCCUCCCUCCUUCCCACCGGCCCACGUGGCCACCAAACUCCUUUCCUGGUUAUUCAGACCUCUGGGCCAGCGCACUGCCUCAAGGAAGGCCUCCCAGACUGCACACUCCGGCCCCCGCAGUCCGCUGAGACCCCUCCGCCCCGGCGGCGUCUCCCAGCACCGGGUCCCCAGCGCCCAGCGCGGUCUGGCGCUGCAGCGGCGCCCGCGGGAGGCUGCGCGCCAGGGGAGGGCGCCUGGGCCGAGGGGCGAGGUGGCACCUCGAGGCCUCCGGCCCGAUCCCUGCCCAGCAGGGCGCCACCGGCCUGUCCCACACCCUCUCUGCCGCCUGCCCAGUGACCUAAUUAUUGUUUUUUCUUCCAGCCCCUGCGGAGGGGAAAAGAGAAAUUCCUGGAGGAUGACACAGGCCCGCCGCCGUGGGGACGCACGGGACCGGCUGGGCCGGCUGCGCCCCCGCCGCCGCCUAACUACAGAGCGCACCGACAUCGCCACGGCCGGCCCGGCCAGGCCUGUGGGCGCCCUGAUUCUGGGGCCGGGGGCCGGGGCUGGGGCGGGACUGCGGGUCCUUGGCACUGCGUUGGCCUGCGGGGGCAGCGCCUGGGGCUCACGGAGGAGGGCAGAGGGGGAGGGGUCCCUGCCCUCUGGGCAGGAACACGGGGCGCCCUGUGUUGAGGCCCUUGCCCUCAGCCCUCAGUCAUCGUGGGUUGUGCAUGUGGCUGCUCCCCAGAGCUAGGCCCCGGAAGGAGGCAGAGACUUGACACUGCGCUGGGCCUCGAUUCCCCAUCUGUGCAGUGGGCUGAUAGCGGGAGAGUGAGGUUUUACCAAGCUGGGGAAUCAAACCCAGGGCCUCCUGCAUGCUACGCAAGCGCUGUACCACCCUGCACACCCCCAGCCUGUAGCAGCUAACAGAUGCCGCCCGCCUCAGCACUGGGGAUUGGACCUCAGGAUUGUGAUUCCUCGAAGACAGUAUGUGACGCCUGCUUCUUUUCCUGACUUAAAAGAAUGCCUGCUUAUUGAGGAGGAUGUGGGAACUACUGAGAAGUACAAAGAAAACAGAAAUCACCUGUCAGCUCAUUACUCAGCGUAAAGCACCCUAGACACCUGGGUGUAUUGUACCCCAACUUUCUUUCGUUACAUAUUGUAUUGUUCACACACACAUGUAUGUGUGCACACAUGUGUGUGCAUACACACACACUUUCCCAUAACAUUAGAGCCUAGAGACUUUCUCAUGGCAUUAAACUUCUGCACAUCUUAAUUUAGAAUAAAUCCCACAAAUGGGAUGCACCGUAGCCUUACCCUACCACUCAACUUCUCUGUGCCUCAGUUUCCUCCUUUGUAAAAUGGGGAUGAUGAUGUUCUUUCCUCCUAAAGGUCCUCAUCAGAGCUCAUUGUGACCGGCAUAAGUGUGGUAGCCCUUGGACCAAGGAAUGAGUCUACCAGAAGUGAUCAGGUGAAUUUGAAAAAGACCACACAGAAUUUCAAGAAAUGACAAAUACAAGUGAAAUCCUAAAAAGUCAUGACAGAGCUGGGAGACUGAAGCCCAGGCUAGAAAGGGAGCUCCAGAAGCCAGAACAUGCGAAGGACAUUGUGCAUAGAAGAGAGCACAAGAAAGCAAUGCCAUAACUUUAUGACCCUCAGGGUCUUCUCCCAGUGUGCAUGGUUGGAUCUGUCCCAAAACAGAAUGUGAAGGGUUUGAGACCUGAACUGUGGGGUGGACCGUCUCCCAGGUCCCAGUCUGGCCACUUGUCCUGGACUCGUGAAACCCAGCCAGAUGGCACUGUGGAAAUCUGUGAAACUGAGCUGAUACUGGAACCAGAGCCCAUAGAAAGUGAAUUUUAGACUGGACCUCGCCUAGGUCUAUUGUCUGUUAAAAUCAAUCAAGAGAUUAAUAAGUCAAUAUUUUCCUUGGGGUUUAAAUAAGACCUACAGUCACCAUGAGUUCAAGGCCAGCCUGGGCUACAUAUCGAGACCCUGUUUUAAAAAAAAACCCAGAACAAAUAAGCAUACAGAAGAACCAAAAUAUAAUUAUAGAAAUAGAAAUAAAAGAACAAAAGAGUUGGAAGGGUUCAAGACCAGAAUGGAAGAGAUGACAGUAGAAGGAUAGAUCUACAGGAAUUAUCCAAUCUGAACCACAGAGAGAAAAAGAUUGAAAAAACUUUGAGCAGAGUCUCAGGAAACUAUGGAGCAAUACCAAAAUGACAAAUACUCCUGUCAUCAGAGUCCUAGAAGGUGUGGACAAAGCACAGUUCAAGAAAUAAGAAGGGAACAAGAAUGGCUGGAAACUUCUCAAAAUUACAGGCUCAAGAAACUCCUUAAAGCUGGAGUUUUAGCUCAGUGGUUUCGCCACCUGCCUUGCAAGCAAGGACCCAAGUUCGAUCCCCAGCACCAAAAAAAAAAAAAAAAAAGAAAAAGAAAAAGAAAAAGAAACUCCUUAAACUUCAAACAGUUUAAGUUCAAAGAUAUCCACUUCUAGGCACAUGAUAAUCCAACUUCCUUAGAGACAAAGAUAUCUCCAAAGUGGUCAGAGAAAAAUAGAACACUUGUUUGUCAGUAUCUCACCA
rnacentral:lncRNA from 1 species